rnacentral:rRNA from 1 species
UACAGAGGUCCCGAGCGUUGUUCGGAUUCAUUGGGCGUAAAGGGUGCGUAGGCGGCUUCCUAAGUUUGAUGUGAAAUCCUGGGGCUCAACCCUGGAACUGCAUUGAAUACUGGGAGGCUAGAGUACUGCAGAGGAGACUGGAAUUCCCGGUGUAGCGGUGAAAUGUGUAGAGAUCGGGAGGAACACCGGUGGCGAAGGCGGGUCUCUGGGCAAUUCCUGACGCUGAGGCGCGAAAGCGUGGGGAGCAAACGGG